rnacentral:lncRNA from 1 species
GUCAUUAUGAUGAAACCAGGCUUGUUUCAGAAUUCCAUGAGAACCACAGUGUCAGGCCGUCAUAACUCUGGAGCUGGAAAUGGAAAAGGCUGUGAUCUGGGGCUGGCUGGCACAGUCCCUGUGAGUCAUUAUGGAAACACUGGCCCCGGAUGCUGCUGAGAAGGACUGGGUUGCUGGGUGAAAAAAAUGGAUUCUUUCUGUAACCUCAGCUCUGCCACUGUGCUCAGUUCUAGAACAGGUAUUCCGAAGAGAAAUUGCUCAAAAAUGCACCCUUUUCUAGAUCCAAAGACCAGGACAGAGAAUCCUAGAGAAGAAUUUUGAUGAAGCUCUUCAGCAUUUUUUUGGCAGGCUGAAUUCAACUUAUCCAAGCUGCUGGAAACUGAAAUGUUUCUCAAGGAGAGGACCCAGCCCCUUGAAACCCUGUGCUUAAUUCACACAACAUGCUAAAGCAUGAUUUCUGGAAAGGCUUUAUGCAUUCCUGUAGAUAUGUAUAUGAUAAAUACUUUGUUAUCAUUUUCUGUCGUGUUCACCAUUCUGGUGCUGAGAGCUGAUGUCUGCUUUAAUCUAUGUGCUGAGUUACAGAUAUACAUGAUCAAAUAAAGUCAAGACAAGAAUCAAGCCUCAUAAAAAUUUUGCCUACAGCAUGUACCAAAAAAAGUCAGUUGUGCCAAGGCUACGCAGGCCAAGUGAAGCCAGGGGUUGUGCAAUUACCCAGCAGAGGUUGAAAUUUCUGACAAAAACAGGGACCUCAUUGAAAGUGCAAGCAUAAAAAUGAAG